CCUACGGGGGACAGCAGUGGGGAAUAUUGGACAAUGGGGGGAACCCUGAUCCAGCGACGCCGCGUGAGUGAAGAAGUAUUUCGGUAUGUAAAGCUCUAUCAGCAGGGAAGAAAGAAAUGACGGUACCUGACUAAGAAGCCCCGGCGAACUACGUGCCAGCAGCCGCGGUAAUACGUAGGGGGCAAGCGUUAUCCGGAUUUACUGGGUGUAAAGGGAGCGUAGACGGUUGUGCAAGUCUGAAGUGAAAGCCCGCGGCUCAACUGCGGAACGGCGUUGGAAACUGUGUAACUGGAGUGCUGGAGAGGUAAGCGGAAUGCCUGGUGUAGCGGUGAAAUGCGUAGAGAUCAGGAGGAACACCGGCGGCGAAGGCGGCUUACUGGACAGUAACUGACGUUGAGGCUCGAAAGCGUGGGGAGCAAACAGGAUUAGAUACCCUAGUAGUC
rnacentral:rRNA from 1 species